UGGUGGGAUGGUUUUGACAGUUUUGCUUGAACUGAUGUGAAUACGGCUGGUUAUUGCACAAGGCUGUUUUUGCAGGCUAUUCAUUGCUUUAAUCUUUGCAGCAUUUAUGCACAUCCUGCAGCAUUUAUGCACAUCCAGUUGUUCUUGACCAUGCAGGUUUUGGGAGGGAAAUGACUUAGCCAAGAACACAUGACGUGAGUUGGACAAAGCGCAUAAACAAAUGGCCAAAUCUGGUAUUUGAAGCAUCAUGGACAAAUAGCAACUCCAGGAUCAAGAUUGAAUUUUAAAAUAGGAUUGGGACUUAUGGGGUUGAGUUGACUUUGGUCAGAGUUGACCAAAAAGUCAACGGUUGACCAAAGUCAACAGUUGGUCAACACACUCAUUCUUUGUAUUUUUUCCUGUAAUGAUCAUGUAAUGAAUGAAAUUUCUUCACUUGAAUGAACUUGGAUUUGUAUUUGGCCUGAAUGGCUUUUGAAAUGAAUUUGAAAUUAUCUUACAUGAA